AGUGAACGCUGGCGGUAGGCCUAACACAUGCAAGUCGAACGGCAGCACAGUAAGAGCUUGCUCUUACGGGUGGCGAGUGGCGGACGGGUGAGGAAUACAUCGGAAUCUACUUUUUCGUGGGGGAUAACGUAGGGAAACUUACGCUGAUACCGCAUACGACCUACGGGUGAAAGCAGGGGAUCUUCGGACCUUGCGCGAUUGAAUGAGCCGAUGUCGGAUUAGCUAGUUGGCGGGGUAAAGGCCCACCAAGGCGACGAUCCGUAGCUGGUCUGAGAGGAUGAUAAGCCACACUGGAACUGAGACACGGUCCAGACUCCUACGGGAGGCAGCAGUGGGGAAUAUUGGACAAUGGGCGCAAGCCUGAUCCAGCCAUACCGCGUGGGUGAAGAAGGCCUUCGGGUUGUAAAGCCCUUUUGUUGGGAAAGAAAAGCAGCAGGUUAAUACCCCGCUGUUCUGACGGUACCCAAAGAAUAAGCACCGGCUAACUUCGUG
rnacentral:rRNA from 1 species